GCACCACAUAACUUUGAAAUAUUAAUUACUUUAAAUGUAAGUUCAUCAUCUCUAGAAAAUGGAGUGAACACCUGUGUUCAAGGCCUUGCCCAGGAAUUGACAGUAGGACCACUGAAGACCAAGAUAGAUGAAGGGCUUCAACCAAGUGAUUCCAAAAGUAGGAAGGUCACUCCUCUUUGGCACGUGUUAUCAAAUAUCCAGUGAUCGGUAGGAAGAGGACAGCUAACAGCCCUCAUCUGCUGCUUCUCAGGUUGAAUUACAGAAGGGACAGGACAAAUGCUUCUCUCUGUGAUCCCAGCUUGGUCUCUGCACAUCAGUGGUUCUGAACAUUUGUGGCCAGCAUUAUAUGAAGCUCUGGGCGAUUAGACUUAAGGAAUAUGCCCCUGCCUACAUCUAGGUGCAGAUAACUGGAUGUAAAACACAUCAACUUGGAUUUGAAGACAGUUACCAAGGGAAAAUCUAGGCAUGAUCAUGAUCAAUUUUCUUAAUAAUUAGUUAAAUAAGGAGCAGUUGAUCCACAUUAUAUGAACA